AUGGACCCAACAGAGAUACUAAAUGUUAGGUUUCAUUUUGGAGGGGAUUUCAUCCGAAUUGGUCGACAAUUGGACUAUGUUGGGGGUGAUGAGGAGGUGUCAGAGAUUGAGAGAGACAAGCUCUCUUUGCAGGAGGUCAAAGGGUUUUUGAAAGAUCAUAUGCAACUGAAGGAAUCAAUGAAAUUCUACUUUCAUAUUCCUGGGACUGAAUUGGCUGAUGGUUUGGUGUUCUUGGAUGAUGACAGUAAAUGUGUGAAGAUGGGGGAUUAUAUUUGUGUUGGUGAUGUUGCACAUAUUUAUGUUGAGUACCAUGGGGAGUAGGACAGUGCAGACAACAACAGUUGUAGUGAUUUUGAGGAUGAACUCGUGCAGUUAAGUGAUGCUCCGCCUGCCAUUGUCACUUCUGAAGCUACUGGCAGUGAAGAAGAAGUGCGAGUCGUUGAGAAUGUCACUGCUGAAGCUACUGACAGUGAAGAAGUGGUAGUUGUUGAGAAUGUCAUGGUUCCUGAUGACACAGGGGUCAUCUCCCAAAUCAUUGUCAGUCCAGUGAAGCAGAAAAGGGGAAGAACUAAUCUAGUUGACAGUGAGCUAGAUGAAGAUGAAUUUGCAGUGUCACAAAUUUGCAACCCAAGUCAAGCUGGUCCUGCUACUUCACAACAUGUGGCUGGUACUUCACAAGCAAUUGCUGCUCCUGCAGAAACAAAUCCAGAUGCAACUGAUUUCAGUGAAGGUUCAGAUGAUGACACUGACACUGAAUAUAUGCCACACAGAGAGGACAGUGGUGAAGAUUCAGAAGUGGUAGAGCUUAGAAGGCAUGCAAGAAAAUUCAAGAAAAGGAUGUGUGACAGCCUGAUUUUUGGCCCUUUCUUUUUCUUUUGUUUUUCUGUGGUUUUUGCUUGA
rnacentral:rRNA from 1 species